CUGGGAUCUGAUAGGUCAAUGGUCAGAUCAGCCUCCCAAGAUAGCUUCACUACUGCACGCCAAUCUCUGAGAAACCGCUCAGUUUCCAGCUCUCACAAGCCUGGUUCCCGGAGAGUGCAGCUGUCAUGGAAGGAACUAGGGCCAUGCAGCACGUUGGGGACAGGGAAUGUCCCCGGAAGCAGGUAUUGGCGUGUGGGCUGGUAUUCCUGGAAGAGGGGACUGCCUGUGUCUGUGACGGCCUCUGCUUCAGAACUGGGGUGCAUAUGGGAACAGCAUAGCUGAGCAUUCCACCCCAAGAACUAGGCAUUUGUUCUGGCACCAGCUGAGAUAACUGCAUGAAAUAUGUGGGAAUGGAAAGGCAAAGUGUCACUUUGAUCACUUCAUCACCAUCCCCGCCACCAGUGCCCAGACUGGCCCCAGAAUCCAGCUGGACCAUGUUUUGGCCUAAUCAUGUCUGCACUGGGUCCAGUUUCAGACCUCUGCCAUUCCUGAAGCUGGCUCAGCCUUCCACACUCCGCCUGUGUCAACAUCUUCAGCAGGACGCAGAUAAGAAGGAAAUGUUCUCUGUAAACAAUGGAGUGCGGCAUGCCAGCAGGCAUUCUUAAAAUUCAGUGGAAAUGUCAAAGAUCCUGCCCCAAGGACACCGAGCUGCAAAGAAAAAUGCAAGAAUUGUAACGUGUUUUCUUCCUCUGAACCUUAUUUUUGUCCUCAAGAUUAGCAAUUAGGCCAACAGUCAAACAGCUUCCAGGCAUGUGGAAUCGUGUAAAAGGUGACUGCAGGCUCACAGUGGCACAGGGGUUGUGUCUAUAACAGGAUCACCAAGGAAAUCAGGCUUCGCAGGUCUAUCCAUGGAAUGGGCAGUUAGGGCAACUGCAUUGGAUGCUGUCCUACAAUGCCUCCCCACCAUCCCUCCUCCCUGAGCUAGAGGGCUGAGAAGGCAGUCAAACCCUCCUGGCCAUUUAGGACUGGGUGUGACAAUUAGAGUGGGAUUAGUGCCAGCUGUGAAGAUCAUUGGUGCCAUCUACAGCUGUUAACUGAGCUCAACAGCUCACUUCAAAUCACACCAUACUAGGAAGUUUUGGUUACUACUGACCUGGGGCAAAUUAAACUAGCAAUAUCGAGGCAGAAGAGCUAAUCUCCAGUCUCCCUUUAGACAAGUGAUUUACCACUCCAGCAUGAGUCCUGCAGCUUUGCCUUUGUUUCCCUGCUGCAGACAGUUUGCCCCAGGCAUGUAGGUCAAUGGGAAACUUUGGACCCUCUGUUGAAGACCCAAGAAGUUCCACUCCCACCCCCCGCCUCUUUCCAGAAUUUAAGGGAGAGUCCAAUGGAAACACAAGCUGGAUGUUCAGCCCACCUCAGCCUGAGGAAUGCUUCACUCUGGUGAACCCUCUCAGCCUUACAGAGCAGCUUCACCCUCCCCAGAGCACAUUAGUAACGAUCAGACUUCUGUGAACUCAAUCAACAGUUGUUUGUCCUUACCAGGCCUAAAAGAUUCCUGCAGGACUGGAUUUGAGAGGGCAGGAAAGCAGGAUGUCCUUCCUCCUUGGGAAGCCUCAUGCCUGUAAAUGAAUGCUAGUUCCAUCAGUGGGCCUCUAGCCCAGCUGUACUGUACUGCCUCAGGACUUUUCCUUCGACCCCCUCCUUAAAGUCUUUCUCCUUCCUGCUCUAAGGACCCUCCCAAGCCCCAUGCCUCAGGCCAGCUAUCUGGCCCUGAUGGAGAUCUUGGUCUUACUGCUACCCAAAUUUCACUAGAGUGAUCCAUAGCCUUGCCUUGUAUACAUUCCCAAAAGCAUGUGAUUUCCAUCUGGGAUUACAUCACUCCUCAGCCCUGCCUCAAAACUACAUUUCUCUGGGUUCCUUUGCCUUAACAGGCCAAGCCACCAACAACUGGGGGCUCACAACACACCCACAUAAAGGCCUCAGCACACUCCCCACCCCUUACUUUUAAA